rnacentral:rRNA from 1 species
CCUANGGGGGGCAGCAGUGAGGAAUAUUGGUCAAUGGGCGAGAGCCUGAACCAGCCAUCCCGCGUGCAGGAAGACGGCCCUAUGGGUUGUAAACUGCUUUUUUAUGGGAAGAAAAAAGCCUACGAGUAGGUAACUGACGGUACCAUAAGAAUAAGCAUCGGCUAACUCCGUGCCAGCAGCCGCGGUAAUACGGAGGAUGCGAGCGUUAUCCGGAUUUAUUAGGUUUAAAGGGUGUGUAGGCGGAUGAUUAAGUCAGUGGUGAAAUCUCACAGCUUAACUGUGAAACUGCCAUUGAUACUGGUUAUCUUGAGUACAGUUGAAGUAGGCGGAAUGUGUAAUGUAGCGGUGAAAUGCUUAGAUAUUACACAGAACACCGAUUGCGAAGGCAGCUUACUAAGCUGUUACUGACGCUGAUGCACGAAAGCGUGGGGAGCGAACAGGAUUAGAUACCCCUNUANUC